rnacentral:hammerhead_ribozyme from 1 species
AUCCAGCUGACGAGUCCAAAAUAAGACAAAACUUGUGUCCUGGAU